rnacentral:rRNA from 1 species
GAUGAACGCUGGCGGCGUGCCUAAUACAUGCAAGUCGAGCGAACAGACGAGGAGCUUGCUCCUCUGACGUUAGCGGCGGACGGGUGAGAAACACGUGGAAAACCUACCUAUAAGACUGGGAAAACUUCGGGAAAGCGGAGCUAAUACCGGAUAAUAUAUUGAACCGCAUGGUUCAAUAGUGAAAGACGGUGGUGCGGGAACUUAUAGAUGGAUCCGCGCCGCAUUAGCUAGUUGGGAAGGUAACGGCUUAUCAAGGCAACGAUGCGUAGCCGACCUGAGAGGCUGAUCGGCCACACUGGAACUGAGACACGGUCCAGGCUCCUACGGGAGGCAGCAGUAUGGAAUCUUCCGCAAUGGUCGAAAGCCUUGCGGAGCAACGCCGCGUGAGUGAUGACGGUCUUCGGUUCGUAAAACUCUGUUAUUAGGUAAGAACAAAUGUGUAAGUAACUAUGCACGUCUUGACGGUACCUAAUCAGAAAGCCACGGCUAACUACGUG